AGCGAACGCUGGCGGCAGGCUUAACACAUGCAAGUCGAACGGCUGCAGCAAUGCAGCAGUGGCAGACGGGUGAGUAACACGUGGGAACCUUCCUAGGGGUACGGAACAACUCAGGGAAACUUGAGCUAAUACCGUAUACGUCCGUGAGGAGAAAGAUUUAUCGCCCUUAGACGGGCCCGCGUCGGAUUAGCUAGUUGGUGGGGUAACGGCCUACCAAGGCGACGAUCCGUAGCUGAUCUUAGAGGAUGAUCAGCCACACUGGGACUGAGACACGGCCCAGACUCCUACGGGAGGCAGCAGUGGGGAAUCUUGGACAAUGGGCGCAAGCCUGAUCCAGCCAUGCCGCGUGAGUGAAGAAGGUCUUCGGAUUGUAAAGCUCUUUUGCCGGGGACGAUAAUGACGGUACCUGGAGAAUAAGCCCCGGCAAACUUCGUGCCAGCCGCCGCGGUAACAC
rnacentral:rRNA from 1 species